rnacentral:rRNA from 1 species
GACGAACGCUGGCGGCGUGCUUAACACAUGCAAGUCGAACGGAAAGGCCCUGCUUUUGUGGGGUGCUCGAGUGGCGAACGGGUGAGUAACACGUGAGUAACCUGCCCUUGACUUUGGGAUAACUUCAGGAAACUGGGGCUAAUACCGGAUAGGAGCUCCUGCUGCAUGGUGGGGGUUGGAAAGUUUCGGCGGUUGGGGAUGGACUCGCGGCUUAUCAGCUUGUUGGUGGGGUAGUGGCUUACCAAGGCUUUGACGGGUAGCCGGCCUGAGAGGGUGACCGGCCACAUUGGGACUGGGGAACGGCCCAGGCUCCUACGGGAGGCAGGAGUGGGGAAUAUUGCACAAUGGGCGGAAGCGUGAUGCAGCAACGCCGCGUGCGGGAUGACGGCCUUCGGGUUGUAAACCGAUUUCGCCUGUGACGAAGCGUGAGUGACGGUAAUGGGUAAAGAAGCACCGGCUAACUACGU